rnacentral:rRNA from 1 species
CGCGAAGAACCUUACCUGGUCUCGACAUCCACAGAACUUUCCAGAGAUGGAUUGGUGCCUUCGGGAACUGUGAGACAGGUGCUGCAUGGCUGUCGUCAGCUCGUGUUGUGAAAUGUUGGGUUAAGUCCCGCAACGAGCGCAACCCUUAUCCUUUGUUGCCAGCGGUCCGGCCGGGAACUCAAAGGAGACUGCCAGUGAUAAACUGGAGGAAGGUGGGGAUGACGUCAAGUCAUCAUGGCCCUUACGACCAGGGCUACACACGUGCUACAAUGGCGCAUACAAAGAGAAGCGACCUCGCGAGAGCAAGCGGACCUCAUAAAGUGCGUCGUAGUCCGGAUUGGAGUCUGCAACUCGACUCCAUGAAGUCGGAAUCGCUAGUAAUCGUGGAUCAGAAUGCCACGGUGAAUACGUUCCCGGGUCUUGUACACACC